rnacentral:tRNA from 1 species
GCUGGUUUGGCUCAGUGGAUAGAGUGUUGGCCUGCGAACUGAAGGGUCCCAGGUUCGAUUCCUGUCAACAGCA